CCGUCGAAGUCCGAUGAUAAGACCAGCGGCUCAUAACCGCUUGGUUGGGAGUUCGAGUCUCUCCAGGCCCACCA
rnacentral:tRNA from 1 species